rnacentral:tRNA from 1 species
GGCGAUAUGGCCGAGCGGUAAGGCGUGAGACUGCAAAUCUUUUGUCCCCAGUUCGAAUCUGGGUGUCGCCU